rnacentral:tRNA from 1 species
UCGUGAUGGAAUAGAGGUAAUUCGCCGAGUCUGUCUUGCCCUGAGAUGUGGGUUCGACUCCCGCUCACGAC